GUUCCGAACUGGGUAGUGCGGGCACCUCCAAGGUGGGGCGGGGCCGGGGCGACAGGACCCUCUCUGCGGGUCUCCCAGCUCGGGGACCGAGCCUUGCCGCCUGCCACAUCCCUGGAGGAGCACGAGGCCCUCGCCGAAGCCACGCUGGGAACCCGUGCAUGGCCGAGGGAGAUGCGGUCUUCGGGAGGCGGUGAUUGGUUUGCUCCUCUCCACUUCUGGAUAGCUGCUCUCACCAGAGGCCCAAAGUAAUAGGGCCACGAAGCCUUAGACUGCAGCCUCCAUAGCCAGGACACCAAAAUGAAGCCUUAGGGUCUUUGGGAAGAAAGAGGUUUAGGUAAGGACAUCAAGAUGAAGAACCAUGACUGUGUCCUGAUGAGGAAGAAGAAAGAAGAAAGAAGAAAGAAGGA